rnacentral:lncRNA from 1 species
GCAGAAGUACGGAGAUGAUUAGCUUUCAGUAAUCCAGAUGAGAGAUAAUGGAGGUUUUUGGAGGUACUAGACAUUGUGCUUGAAUUCUUAAAUUUUGAAAGCAGAGUUAAAAUUUGUGACUAAUUGUACAUAAAGUUUUAAGGGAAAGAAGAUGCAAGAAAAAUUUACACGUUCUUAGUUAAGGCACUUGGAAGAAUGGAAUUGCUGUCAACCAAGAUGGGUAUAAUUGCAGAGGGAACAAACAAGGUUGGGAAAAGGAGAGAUUGAUUACCUUUAGAUGUGGUAAAUUUGAGAAGUAGCAAGGUCAAGAAAGCAAUUGCUUAGGUGGAUGUAUUUAGUGUGAAGGCCAGGAAAAAGAUCUGAACUUGAGAUACAUUAAGUAAUCAUUAGAACAUGAUGGCGGCAUCAGCUUGGAUGAUGUCAUUAAGGGAAUGAGUAUAGAAGAUUUCAGAGGAUUAACCUCUGGGGACUCCAGUAAAAGAAGUUCGGAGAGG